rnacentral:tRNA from 8 species
AAAAACUCUUGGUGCAACUCCAAGUAAAAGCU